rnacentral:misc_RNA from 1 species
CCAAUAGCGUAUAUUAAAGUUGUUGCAGUUAAAAAGCUCGUAGUUGAAUUUCGAGAUCGGCUUACUGGUCGUGCUUUUGUACGUACUGGUAAAUCGGUUUCUCCUUUCUGACGAACUUUAAUGCCAUUAAUUUGGUGUUUUAGGGAAUCAGGACUGUUACUUUGAAAAAAUUAGAGUGUUUAAAGCAGGCUCACGCUUGAAUACAUUAGCAUGGAAUAACGGAAUAGGACGUUUGAUUUUAUUUUGUUGGUUUCUAGGAUCGACGUAAUGAUUAAUAGGGAUAGUUGGGGGCAUUAGUAUUCAAUUGUCAGAGGUGAAAUUCUUGGAUUUAUUGAAGACUAACUACUGCGAAAGCAUUUGCCAAGGAUGUUUUCAUUAAUCAAGAACGAAAGUUAGGGGAUCGAAGACGAUCAGAUACCGUCGUAGUCUUAACCAUAAACUAUGCCGACUAGGGAUCGGAUGAUGUUAAUUUUUUAAUGACUCAUUCGGCGCCUUACG